rnacentral:rRNA from 1 species
GACGAACGCUGGCGGCGUGCUUAACACAUGCAAGUCGAACGGAAAGGCCCUGCUUUUGUGGGGUGCUCGAGUGGCGAACGGGUGAGUAACACGUGAGUAACCUGCCCUUGACUUUGGGAUAACUUCAGGAAACUGGGGCUAAUACCGGAUAGGAGCUCCUGCUGCAUGGUGGGGGUUGGAAAGUUUCGGCGGUUGGGGAUGGACUCGCGGCUUAUCAGCUUGUUGGUGGGGUAGUGGCUUACCAAGGCUUUGACGGGUAGCCGGCCUGAGAGGGUGACCGGCAGGAGUGGGACUGAGAGAGGGACGAGAGCCCGAAGGGAGGCGGCAGGGGGGAUGGGGGAGCAAGGGGGGGAAGUCGGAUGCAGCAACGGGGCGGGCGGGAGGACGGCCGUCGGGAUGUAAACCGCGAGCGCCGGGGAAGAAGCGGGAGGGAGGGGAAUGGGUAAAGAAGAACAGGCUAAAGAAGUG